rnacentral:rRNA from 1 species
UACGUAGGGUGCGAGCGUUUGUCCGGAAUUAUUGGGCGUAAAGGGCUCGUAGGCGGUCUGUCGCGUCGGGAGUGAAAACUCAGGGCUUAACCCUGAGCCUGCUUCCGAUACGGGCAGACUAGAGGUAUGCAGGGGAGAACGGAAUUCCUGGUGUAGCGGUGGAAUGCGCAGAUAUCAGGAGGAACACCGGUGGCGAAGGCGGUUCUCUGGGCAUUACCUGACGCUGAGGAGCGAAAGCAUGGGGAGCGAACAGG